UACGGGGGGUGCAAGCGUUGAUCGGAUUGACUGGGCGUAAAGGGAGCGUAGGCGGUCGAAUAAGUCAGUUGUGAAAUUCCGGGGCUCAACCCCGGAGCUGCGACUGAAACUAUUUGACUAGAGGGUGGUAGGGGAAAACAGAAUUCUGCAUGUAGCGGUGAAAUGCGUAGAUAUGCAGAGGAAUACCGGUGGCGAAGGCGGUUUUCUGUACCAUUCCUGACGCUGAGGCUCGAAAGUGUGGGGAGCAAACAGG
rnacentral:rRNA from 1 species